rnacentral:lncRNA from 1 species
CAAUAACAUAUGAGGCAUAAUUUAUCCACAUGCUCACCAACACUUAUCAUUGUUGAGAGCCACAGCCGAAGGGGCCCCAGCAAACUUUCAGACUGCCAGCUGAUGAUUGGCUCACAGCGGCCCCAGCAACUUCUAGCUGAUUGGCUCCUCUGCGGUGAUGCUCAUUGGGCUGUUUCCCUGCCCUUUCAGACUACGGAGCUGCUCAUUGGGGGACUUUUUUGGCUCCGCCCACACGACCCAGCCAAUCGGCCUCAAGAGCAGGAGGAGUGGGGGAGGUU